rnacentral:rRNA from 1 species
UGUUUUUCACAAUAUUUCUGGUGGACACCUAAUUUUAUCCCACCAAGCAGAAAUGUGCAUAUUGUGGGGGUGGCUGCUCUAUGUUGGGCUAUCUGGAAGCUCAGAAACAGAGCCUGCUUUGAUAACAAACUUGUAAAAUCGCCAGCUAAAUUUCUGUGUUAUGCUUGUUCCUUCUUAUGAUGCUGGGCAGGCUUGCAAAAUGAUGCUGACAAGACGAUGGUGGAACAUGGGGCGGACCUGCUACAGCAUGCGGCACUGGAGGCGCGUGUUCAUCCAGUCAGUGGCAUGAGGAGGUGA